CAUUGCAAUGAGUGGCGAACGGGUGAGUAACACGUGGGAAACCUACCUCUUAGCAGGGGAUAACAUUUGGAAACAAAUGCUAAUACCGUAUAAUAAUUAAAACCGCAUGGUUUUAGUUUAAAAGAUGGUCUUGCUAUCACUAAGAGAUGGUCCCGCGGUGUAUUAGUUAGUUGGUGAGGUAAUGGCUCACCAAGACAAUGAUACAUAGCCGAGUUGAGAGACUGACCGGCCACAAUGGGACUGAGACACGGCCCAUACUCCUACGGGAGGCAGCAGUAGGGAAUCUUCCACAAUGGACGAAAGUCUGAUGGAGCAACGCCGCGUGUGUGAUGAAGGGUUUCGGCUCGUAAAACACUGUUGUAAGAGAAGAAUGACAUUGAGAGUAACUGUUCAAUGUGUGACGGUAUCUUACCAGAAAGGAACGGCUAAAUACGUGCCAGCAGCCGCGGUAAUACGUAUGUUCCAAGCGUUAUCCGGAUUUAUUGGGCGUAAAGCGAGCGCAGACGGUUAUUUAAGUCUGAAGUGAAAGCCCUCGGCUCAACCGAGGAAUUGCUUUGGAAACUGGAUAACUUGAGUGCAGUAGAGGAAAGUGGAACUCCAUGUGUAGCGGUGAAAUGCGUAGAUAUAUGGAAGAACACCAGUGGCGAAGGCGGCUUUCUGGACUGUAACUGACGUUGAGGCUCGAAAGUGUGGGUAGCAAACAGGAUUAGAUACCCUGGUAGUCCACACUGUAAACGAUGAGUGCUAGUUGUUCGAGGGUUUCCGCCCUUGAGUGACGAAGCUAACGCAUUAAGCACUCCGCCUGGGGAGUACGACCGCAAGGUUGAAACUCAAAGGAAUUGACGGGGACCCGCACAAGCGGUGGAGCAUGUGGUUUAAUUCGAAGCAACGCGAAGAACCUUACCAGGUCUUGACAUCCUUUGACCACUCCAGAGAUGGAGCUUUCCCUUCGGGGACAAAGUGACAGGUGGUGCAUGGUUGUCGUCAGCUCGUGUCGUGAGAUGUUGGGUUAAAGUCCCGCAACGAGCGCAACCCUUAUUGUUAGUUGCCAGCAUUUAGUUGGGCACUCUAGCAAGACUGCCGGUGACAAACCGGAGGAAGGCGGGGAUGACGUCAAAUCAUCAUGCCCCUUAUGACCUGGGCUACACACGUGCUACAAUGGCAAGUACAACGAGUCGCCAACCCGCGAGGGUGCGCAAAUCUCUUAAAGCUUGUCUCAGUUCGGACUGUAGGCUGCAACUCGCCUACACGAAGUCGGAAUCGCUAGUAAUCGCGGAUCAGCACGCCGCGGUGAAUACGUUCCCGGGUCUUGUACACACCGCCCGUCACACCAUGAGAGUUUGUAACACCCAAAGUCGGUGAGGUAACCUU
rnacentral:rRNA from 1 species